rnacentral:lncRNA from 1 species
AAACAAUACAACAUACAGUAAUAAUCCGAAAUAAAUAUGUAAAGGCAAUUUAGGUUAGAAAAUUCCAAUUUUCUUCUAUGAAUGAGUAAGGAAGAAAGUGCUAGCGAAGGCCUAUAAAAGCUUUGAUACUAUUUGUGAACUAUGCCAUACAAGACAUUAUCCUGACAGCUGUGAAUCUUUUCUGGAUAAAGGUCAAGGACAUCCUUACCACUGAAAGUUUUCCCACCAGGAUGAACUGAGCAAGAGACAGCUGCUGGGCUACCAGCAGAAACAGCUGGUUGUAUUAUUACUACAGUUACUGCAUAUACCUGUGCCCGCUCAGCUACAACCCAACAAGUCUGAUCCUGAGAUACAAAUGCUACAUCAGAAACGGAGUCACUGGAAAAGCAAAAGAAGUGAAAGAAAAGAUGAAGCCUCUCAGCUUGGAAAUGCAU